rnacentral:miRNA from 1 species
UACUCCCGAUUAGACUGAUUAUGCUGAUUACCCCGAUUUUAUUUUGAAAGAUUUUAAAAGGAUAAAAAAUAGAAUCGGGGUAAUCAGCAUAAUCAGUCUAAUCG